rnacentral:rRNA from 1 species
ACGGCGAGUGAAGCGGCAAGAGCUCAACUUUGGAAUCGCUCCGGCGAGUUGUAGUCUGGAGGUGGCCACCACGAGGUGUUCUAGCAGCAGGCAAGUCCUUUGGAACAAGGCGCCAGCGAGGGUGACAGCCCCGUACCUGCUUUUGCUAGUGCUUCCUGUGGCCCACCGACGAGUCGAGUUGUUUGGGAAUGCAGCUCUAAGUGGGUGGUAAAUUCCAUCUAAGGCUAAAUAUUGGCGAGAGACCGAUAGCGAACAAGUACAGUGAUGGAAAGAUGAAAAGCACUUUGAAAAGAGAGUGAAACAGUACGUGAAAUUGUUGAAAGGGAAGGGCUUGCACCCAGACACGGUUUCGGCCGGGCCAGCAUCAAGUAGAACGGGGUUAAAAGACUUGGGGAAUGUAGCUACUUCGGUAGUGUUAUAGCCCUUGGUGAUGACCCCUGUUUUGCUUGAGGACAGCGGUCUCUAGGAUGCUGGCGCAAUGGUUGCAAGCCACCCGUCUUAACACCGGAACCAA